AAUGGGCGAAAGCCUGACCCAGCAACGCCGCGUGUGUGAUGAAGGCCUUCGGGUCGUAAGGCACUUUUCUGGGAGAUGGGAAAGGACAGUAUCCCAGGAAUAAGUCUCGGCUAACUACGUGCCAGCAGCCGCGGUAAAACGUGGGAGGCGAGCGUUAUCCGGAUUCACUGGGCGUAAAGCGCGUGCAGGUGGCGCGGUAAGUUGGGCGUGAAAUCUCCCGGCUCAACUGGGAGAGGUCGUCCAAUACUACCGUGCUUGAGAGCAGAAGAGGAAGAUGGAAUUCCCGGUGUAGUGGUGAAAUGCGUAGAUAUCGGGAGGAACACCAGUGGCGAAGGCGAUCUUCUGGUCUGUUUCUGACACUCAGACGCGACAGCUAGGGUAGUAAACGGGAUAGAGACCCCGGUAAUCCUAGCCGUAAACGAUGUGAACUUGGCGUUGGUGGGUUAAACUCCAUCAGUGCCGUAGCAAACGCGAUAAGUUCACCGCCUGGGGACUACGGCCGCAAGGUUA
rnacentral:rRNA from 1 species